UACAGAUGGAUGAACAGACACAGACUUGUAUAGAAUACCUUGGGGAUGACCUCAGAGUAAGAGACACACACUCCAGAGCCCCUCAGCUCCUGCAGCAGCAUUUGGACCCCAUACUUCCCGUAGUCAUCGUCCCCAGACAACAGGCCCACCCAGGUCCAGCCUAGCCGGGACAGAAGCCAGGCCAUGGCCCGUGCCUGGAAGGCAUCGCUGGGAACAGUCCUGAAGAAGGAGGGACGGAGCCUCCCUGCCUACCAUGGGCAGGGUAAACACUCCCAGGGUCUGUGCCACCACGAUGGAGGAGGAGGAGCUGGUGUCUCCGAUGAUGACUGGCACCUCGGGAGUUGUGCCACAGUCUGUGCCUGAUAUGGAGUCUUCCUGCCCGGUCACCAUGCCCAGGGCUGCCCCCAAGGCGGUGCCCUCGACCAGGCAGGAGUCUGAGGCCAGGUACCCCAGCCUGAGCCCAGGGAGGAGGCUAGGGUUACGGUUCACCUCCUCCACAGCAAAGAUCAUGGUCUGGAGCCAGCGGUACGCCCGCUGGUAGAAACUGGAGCAGGGGAGCAAGAUGUAGGGAGGGAAGGGAGAAGAAAAGAGUUCUGGGUUAAAGGACCUGGGUUUGCACAACUGCAAAGAAGGAGAUUGAACCAUUUCACAGACGACGCUCCAAAAACAAUUGUAUACAUUUGCUUUUACAAACCACUUACAUGGUACAGUUAGUGUUGCUGCGCUUGCUCCUAAACUCUAGCUCAGGUUCUGGAGCUUCCACAUGGAUGGGGAACAGUCCCCCGAUCACGACGUCCCCUGCCCGAUAUACACUGCCGGACACAGGCUUAGCCAACAGCCGGCAGGCCCCCCCUCCUGCCAGCCCCAGGACCAGCCCAGGGAGGCAGGCCAGCAACCACAGCCGGCCAGAGAGCCACAUCACCUGGGGAGAGGACCGACGGAGAACCAUCACAUGGAGCUGAGAAAAGAAGACCAACUUAAAGGAUGGAAAGUGAUCAGACACAGCCUCAGCAGGAUGAUGUAACACUUUGGGGCGAAGAUGCAGGCCAGAAGUCCGUAACUGGAGGCCAGGAUGGCAAAGAUCUCCACGGCAACCGUGUACUUCCCUGGAGAGCUGACGUAAGCUGGGAUGAACACGACCCAGACGGCGCAGAAGAUCAGCAUGCUGAAGGUGAUGAGCUUGGCCUCGUUGAAGUUGUCUGGGAGUUUCCUGGCCAGGAAGGCCAGGAGGAGGCAGAGGGAGGCCAGCAGGCCGAUGUACCCAAGGACCAGGGAGAAGCCCACCACGGAGCCCACAGCACACUCCAACAAGAUCUUGGGCCCCUGGUCUCCUCUGAUGCCCCUCUCUGUAGGCCGAGGGGGGGCCAGGGACAGCCACAACACACAGAUCAGCACCUGGGAACAGAAACCUUCAGUUUAUAAGC